rnacentral:rRNA from 1 species
UACGUAGGGUGCGAGCGUUAAUCGGAAUUACUGGGCGUAAAGCGUGCGCAGGCGGUUUUGUAAGCCAGAUGUGAAAGCCCCGGGCUCAACCUGGGAAUGGCAGUGGAAACUAGGCGACUUGAAUCUGGCAGAGGGGGGUGGAAUGCCGCGUGUAGCAGUGAAAUGCGUAGAGAUGCGGCGGAACACCGAUGGCGAAGGCAGCCCCCUGGGCUGAGAUUGACGCUCAGGCACGAAAGCGUGGGGAGCAAACAGG